ACGGGUGAGUAAUGCCUAGGAAUCUGCCUGGUAGUGGGGGAUAACGCUCGGAAACGGACGCUAAUACCGCAUACGUCCUACGGGAGAAAGCAGGGGACCUUCGGGCCUUGCGCUAUCAGAUGAGCCUAGGUCGGAUUAGCUAGUUGGUGGGGUAAUGGCUCACCAAGGCGACGAUCCGUAACUGGUCUGAGAGGAUGAUCAGUCACACUGGAACUGAGACACGGUCCAGACUCCUACGGGAGGCAGCAGUGGGGAAUAUUGGACAAUGGGCGAAAGCCUGAUCCAGCCAUGCCGCGUGUGUGAAGAAGGUCUUCGGAUUGUAAAGCACUUUAAGUUGGGAGGAAGGGCAUUAACCUAAUACGUUAGUGUUUUGACGUUACCGACAGAAUAAGCACCGGCUAACUCUGUGCCAGCAGCCGCGGUAAUACAGAGGGUGCAAGCGUUAAUCGGAAUUACUGGGCGUAAAGCGCGCGUAGGUGGUUCGUUAAGUUGGAUGUGAAAUCCCCGGGCUCAACCUGGGAACUGCAUUCAAAACUGUCGAGCUAGAGUAUGGUAGAGGGUGGUGGAAUUUCCUGUGUAGCGGUG
rnacentral:rRNA from 2 species